AGUAACAAGAUGAUUUUCGGCAAGAGGCGUGCACCUUUAUAAAGGAUUACGGUGGGAUUGAUGAAGACCAUUUCAAUUGAGUAAUUGCAUCGUGGUGGAGUGAUUUCGAGAUGGGCGAUACGGGUCAGUCGGAUUUUCAGAAACGCAAUAAGAAAAAGAUAGCUCUUGAUCGAUUGAAUAAUGCAUGUGAUGUGAAGGAAACUUGGUUUGCGUUUGUCAAGGAUUCGUCGUUUCUUGCUCUGAAGUAUGUCUUGAACAAAAAACUACAUUGGCUAGAGAGAUUGUUCUGGUUGGUUAUUAUCUUAGUCGGUGCAUCGUUGUGUGGCUUUGGGAUACUUCUUAGUGCUAAGAAAUUUAGCGGCCACAUGGUACAGAUUGUUCCAGAUGAUGAACCAUCACCAAUUUGGAGUGUUCCGUUUCCAGCAGUGACUAUUUGCGGGAUGGAAAUCGAAGGAGAGAAAUCGGAGCCCUUGAAAAGUUUUUGCGAGAAGGCUUGUUGGGGCGAACAAUGCGCUUGCUGUAAAGCGUUGUUCACGAAAACACGUACAGAACUCGGAAGUUGUUACACUUUCAACAAUCUGGCUGCCAAAGAUCUGUUCAAUACAAAAGGGAUGACAAAAGAUGCACAAUUAUCUAAUGCAUCAAUUUCCAGCGAGAACUGGGAUGUGCAAGCUGGAUACAAAAGUUUUGAUUCGUCAAGUAAAUACUACCCAAGACGAGUAAUGGAUUUAUCACAUGACUAUGAACUAAUGGUUAGAUUCAGAAUCGUUGAAAAUAGUUCAGUCCACAGCCAUGGAAAUCAAUCGUCAAUCAAAGUGGAUCUUCACAAUCCAGCAGAUUACCCGUUCAAAACCGAGAAUGCUAUUCUGGCAGAACCUGGACAAUCUUUCAAGAUAGCAGUUCACCCAAAAGUCAGGACUGGUCGACGAUAUUUGAAAUUUAGCUGUCCGCAAUCGUAUGACCUCAUUUUCGUGUACUUUUUGUAAUGAAUUGUUGUUAAGAUAGCAGUUCACCCAAAAGUCAGGACUGGUCGACGAUAUUUGAAAUUUAGCUGUCCGCAAUCCAUAAACUGCUGUUAUGGAGAUCAAUGUCAGCUACAAUUCUUCCGGAUCUACUCUCAGCAGAAUUGCGAGUUGGAAUGCCGCACCAAGUAUAUGAUGGAGACACGAAAUUGCGUUCUGUCAUAUAUGCCACGUAAUGCUGGAGUUUCCCUAUGCAAUGAAAGUACUUCCAUUUCACAGGAUCAACUGCAGAAAGAAAUAACCCUCGCAGCGAGAAUCAACAAUAUUCCACCGUCCAAGUAUUUUGUAAAAACCUGCAACUGCCUGCCCAGCUGUAAUGAAAUCCGGUACAAAAGUGUCGUAACAAAAAGCCGUUCGAAUGGAACCAAUAAUUCCGAGGUGAUUAUUCAUUUCGAUAAAGAUCAUUUCUUUGGAUCCAAAAUAACGAUUCGAUAUGGAAUCAUAGACUUCUUCUCCACUAUUGGAGGAUUAUUAUCAUUGUUUCUCGGAAUCUCUUUCAUAACAAUAAUUGAAAUACUGUAUUAUUGCACUCUGAGACCAUUUUUCAUAUCAUAAAUGUUAAAAUAACCACAACAACUACGGAUUGUCUUUAAAACUGUCAUUACCAUUCUAUUCCGCAAAAAAGACAGCUGAAUAAA